rnacentral:rRNA from 1 species
UGUUUGAUGUUCUAACGUGGACCCGUGAUCCGGGUUGCGGACAGUGUCUGGUGGGUAGUUUGACUGGGGCGGUCUCCUCCUAAAGAGUAACGGAGGAGCACGAAGGUUGGCUAAUCCUGGUCGGACAUCAGGAGGUUAGUGCAAUGGCAUAAGCCAGCUUGACUGCGAGCGUGACGGCGCGAGCAGGUGCGAAAGCAGGUCAUAGUGAUCCGGUGGUUCUGAAUGGAAGGGCCAUCGCUCAACGGAUAAAAGGUACUCCGGGGAUAACAGGCUGAUACCGCCCAAGAGUUCAUAUCGACGGCGGUGUUUGGCACCUCGAUGUCGGCUCAUCACAUCCUGGGGCUGAAGUAGGUCCCAAGGGUAUGGCUGUUCGCCAUUUAAAGUGGUACGCGAGCUGGGUUUAGAACGUCGUGAGACAGUUCGGUCCCUAUCUGCCGUGGGCGCUGGAGAACUGAGGGGGGCUGCUCCUAGUACGAGAGGACCGGAGUGGACGCAUCACUGGUGUUCGGGUUGUCAUGCCAAUGGCACUGCCCGGUAGCUAAAUGCGGAAGAGAUAAGUGCUGAAAGCAUCUAAGCACGAAACUUGCCCCGAGAUGAGUUCUCCCUGACCCUUUAAGGGUCCUGAAGGAACGUUGAAGACGACGACGUUGAUAGGCCGGGUGUGUAAGCGCAGCGAUGCGUUGAGCUAA